GACGAACGCUGGCGGCGUGCUUAACACAUGCAAGUCGAACGGUGAAGCGCUUGCCUUUUUGGUGGGUGUGGAUGAGUGGCGAACGGGUGAGUAACACGUGAGUAACCUGCCCUCUUCUUCUGGAUAACCUCAUGAAAGUGGGGCUAAUACGGGGUAUUCCGGGUCUGUCGCAUGGCGGGUUUGGGAAAGAUUGCGCCUUUGGGUGUUUUCGGUGGGGGAUGGGCUCGCGGCCUAUCAGCUUGUUGGUGGGGUGAUGGCCUACCAAGGCGGUGACGGGUAGCCGGCCUGAGAGGGUGGACGGCCACACUGGGACUGAGACACGGCCCAGACUCCUGCGGGAGGCAGCAGUGGGGAAUAUUGCACAAUGGGCGCAAGCCUGAUGCAGCGACGCCGCGUGAGGGAUGGAGGCCUUCGGGUUGUGAACCUCUUUCGCCAGUGAAGCAGGCCUGCUCCUGUGUGGGUGGGUUGACGGUAGCUGGAUAAGAAGCGCCGGCUAACUACGUGCCAGCAGCCGCGGUAAUACGUAGGGCGCGAGCGUUGUCCGGAAUUAUUGGGCGUAAAGGGCUUGUAGGCGGUUGGUCGCGUCUGCCGUGAAAUCCUCUGGCUUAACUGGGGGCGUGCGGUGGGUACGGGCNGACUUGAGUGCGGUAGGGGAGACUGGAACUCCUGGUGUAGCGGUGGAAUGCGCAGAUAUCAGGAAGAACACCGGUGGCGAAGGCGGGUCUCUGGGCCGUUACUGACGCUGAGGAGCGAAAGCGUGGGGAGCGAACAGG
rnacentral:rRNA from 1 species